AAAUUUUCAAUACGGAGGAAAAGAAACUAACUAGGAUUCCCUUAGUAACGGCGAGUGAACCGGGAUGAGCUCAAAUUUAAAAUCUGGCGUCUUUCAGGCGUCCGAGUUGUAAUCUAUAGAGGCGUUUUCCGCGCCGGACCGCGUCCAAGUCUCUUGGAAUAGAGUAUCAAAGAGGGUGACAAUCCCGUACUUGACGCGACAACCGGUGCUCUGUGAUACGUUCUCAAUGAGUCGAGUUGUUUGGGAAUGCAGCUCUAAAUGGGUGGUAAAUUCCAUCUAAGGCUAAAUAUUGGCGAGAGACCGAUAGCGAACAAGUACCGUGAGGGAAAGAUGAAAAGCACUUUGGAAAGAGAGUUAAACAGCACGUGAAAUUGUUAAAAGGGAAACGAUUGAAGUCAGUCGUGUGAAAGGUAUUCAGCCGUCUCUGGCGGUGUAUUUGCCUUUCACGGGUCAACAUCAGUUUGAUCCGGUAGAAAAAGGCGGGAGGAAGGUGGCACCCUCGGGUGUGUUAUAGCCUCCUGUCAUAUGUGCCGGACCAGACUGAGGAACGCAGCUUGCCGCAAGGCCGGGGUUCGCCCACGUACAAGCUAGGUGUGAUCUAA
rnacentral:rRNA from 1 species